rnacentral:rRNA from 1 species
UACGUAGGCAGCGAGCGUUGUUCGGAAUUACUGGGCGUAAAGAGUGUGUAGGCGGUGCUCCCAGUCUGUUGUGAAAUCUCCCGGCUUAACUGGGAGGGUGCAGCGGAAACUAGAGUGCUAGAGGGUGGGAGAGGUAAGCGGAAUUCCUGGUGUAGCGGUGAAAUGCGUAGAUAUCAGGAGGAACACCUGUGGCGAAAGCGGCUCACUGGACCACAACUGACGCUGAGGCGCGAAAGCUAGGGGAGCAAACAGG